rnacentral:rRNA from 1 species
GGGGGAUAUUGCGCAAUGGGGGAAACCCUGACGCAGCAACGCCGCGUGAAGGAUGAAGGUUUUCGGAUUGUAAACUUCUUUUAUUUAGGACGAAGAAUGACGGUACUAAAUGAAUAAGCUCCGGCUAACUACGUGCCAGCAGCCGCGGUAAAACGUAGGUCACAAGCGUUGUCCGGAAUUACUGGGUGUAAAGGGAGCGCAGGCGGGAGAACAAGUUGGAAGUGAAAUCCAUGGGCUCAACCCAUGAACUGCUUUCAAAACUGUUUUUCUUAAGUAGUGCAGAGGUAGGCGGAAUUCCCGGUGUAGCGGUGGAAUGCGUAGAUAUCGGGAGGAACACCAGUGGCGAAGGCGGCCUACUGGGCACCAACUGACGCUGAGGCUCGAAAGUGUGGGUAGCAAACAGGAUUAGAUACCCUGGUAGUCCACACCGUAAACGAUGAUUACUAGGUGUUGGAGGAUUGACCCCUUCAGUGCCGCAGUUAACACAAUAAGUAAUCCACCUGGGGAGUACGACCGCAAGGUUGAAACUCAAAGGAAUUGACGGGGGCCCGCACAAGCAGUGGAGUAUGUGGUUUAAUUCGACGCAACGCGAAGAACCUUACCAAGUCUUGACAUCCCUUGACGAACAUAGAAAUAUGUUUUCUCUUCGGAGCAAGGAGACAGGUGGUGCAUGGUUGUCGUCAGCUCGUGUCGUGAGAUGUUGGGUUAAGUCCCGCAACGAGCGCAACCCUUAUGGUCAGUUACUACGCAAGAGGACUCUGGCCAGACUGCCGUUGACAAAACGGAGGAAGGUGGGGAUGACGUCAAAUCAUCAUGCCCUUUAUGACUUGGGCUACACACGUACUACAAUGGCGUUAAACAAAGAGAAGCAAGACCGCGAGGUGGAGCAAAACUCAGAAACAACGUCCCAGUUCGGACUGCAGGCUGCAACUCGCCUGCACGAAGUCGGAAUUGCUAGUAAUCGUGGAUCAGCAUGCCACGGUGAAUACGUUCCCG